AUUGAACGCUGGCGGCAGGCCUAACACAUGCAAGUCGAGCGGAUGAAGUGAGCUUGCUCCUGGAUUCAGCGGCGGACGGGUGAGUAAUGCCUAGGAAUCUGCCUGGUAUUGGGGGAUAACGUCCGGAAACGGGCGCUAAUACCGCAUACGUCCUGAGGGAGAAAGUGGGGGAUCUUCGGACCUCACGCUAUCAGAUGAGCCUAGGUCGGAUUAGCUAGUUGGUGGGGUAAAGGCCUACCAAGGCGACGAUCCGUAACUGGUCUGAGAGGAUGAUCAGUCACACUGGAACUGAGACACGGUCCAGACUCCUACGGGAGGCAGCAGUGGGGAAUAUUGGACAAUGGGCGAAAGCCUGAUCCAGCCAUGCCGCGUGUGUGAAGAAGGUCUUCGGAUUGUAAAGCACUUUAAGUUGGGAGGAAGGGCAGUAAGUUAAUACCUUGCUGUUUUGACGUUACCAACAGAAUAAGCACCGGCUAACUUCGUG
rnacentral:rRNA from 1 species